rnacentral:rRNA from 1 species
GAUGAACGCUGGCGGCGUGCCUAAUACAUGCAAGUCGAGCGAACAGACGCGGAGCUUGCUCCUCUGACGUUAGCGGCGGACGGGUGAGUAACACGUGGAUAACCUACCUAUAAGACUGGGAUAACUUCGGGAAACCGGCGCUAAUACCGGAUAAUAUAUUGAACCGCAUGGUUCAAUAGUGAAAGACGGUUUUGCUGUCACUUAUAGAUGGAUCCGCGCCGCAUUAGCUAGUUGGUAAGGUAACGGCUUACCAAGGCAACGAUGCGUAGCCGACCUGAGAGGGUGAGCGGCCACACUGGAACUGAGACACGGUCCAGACGCCUACGGGAGGCAGCAGUAGGGAAUCUUCCGCAAUGGGCGAAAGCCUGACGGAGCAACGCCGCGUGAGUGAUGAAGGUCUUCGGAUCGUAAAACUCUGUUAUUAGGGAAGAACAAAUGUGGAAGUAACUAUGCACGUCUUGACGGGACCUAAUCAGAAAGCCACGGCUAACUACGUG